rnacentral:rRNA from 1 species
CCUACGGGUGGCAGCAGUGAGGAAUAUUGGUCAAUGGACGAGAGUCUGAACCAGCCAAGUAGCGUGAAGGAUGACUGCCCUAUGGGUUGUAAACUUCUUUUAUAUGGGAAUAAAACAUGGUAUGCAUACCCUCUUGUAUGUACCAUAUGAAUAAGGAUCGGCUAACUCCGUGCCAGCAGCCGCGGUAAUACGGAGGAUCCGAGCGUUAUCCGGAUUUAUUGGGUUUAACGGGAGCGUAGGUGGGUUGUUAAGUCAGUUGUGAAAGUUUGCGGGUUAACCGUAAAAUUGCAGUUGAAACUGGCAGUCUUGAGUACAGUAGAGGUAGGCGGAAUACGUGGUGUAGCAGUGAAAUGCUUAGAUAUAACGAAGAACUCCGAUUGCGAAGGCAGCUCACUGGACUGCAACUGACACUGAUGCUCGAAAGUGUGGGUAGCAAACAGGAUUAGAUACCCCAGUAGUC